rnacentral:rRNA from 1 species
UAGGGAAUCUUCCGCAAUGGGCGAAAGCCUGACGGAGCAACGCCGCGUGAGUGAUGAAGGUCUUCGGAUCGUAAAACUCUGUUAUUAGGGAAGAACAAAUGUGUAAGUAACUAUGCACGUCUUGACGGUGCCUAAUCAGAAAGCCACGGCUAACUACGUGCCAGCAGCCGCGGUAAUACGUAGGUGGCAAGCGUUAUCCGGAAUUAUUGGGCGUAAAGCGCGCGUAGGCGGUUUUUUAAGUCUGAUGUGAAAGCCCACGGCUCAACCGUGGGGGGUCAUUGGAAACUGGAAAAUUUGAGUGCAGAAGAGGAAAGUGGAAUUCCAGGUGUAGCGGUGAAAUGCGCGGAGAUAUGGAGGAACACCAGUGGCGAAGGCGACUUUCUGGUCUGUAACUGACGCUGAUGUGCGAAAGCGGGGGGAUCAAACAGG